rnacentral:rRNA from 1 species
CAUCCUCCAAGGCUAAAUACUCCUGACUGACCGAUAGUGAACCAGUACCGUGAGGGAAAGGCGAAAAGAACCCCGGCGAGGGGAGUGAAAAAGAACCUGAAACCGUGUACGUACAAGCAGUGGGAGCACGCUUAGGCGUGUGACUGCGUACCUUUUGUAUAAUGGGUCAGCGACUUAUAUUCUGUAGCAAGGUUAACCGAAUAGGGGAGCCGAAGGGAAACCGAGUCUUAACUGGGCGUUAAGUUGCAGGGUAUAGACCCGAAACCCGGUGAUCUAGCCAUGGGCAGGUUGAAGGUUGGGUAACACUAACUGGAGGACCGAACCGACUAAUGUUGAAAAAUUAGCGGAUGACUUGUGGCUGGGGGUGAAAGGCCAAUCAAACCGGGAGAUAGCUGGUUCUCCCCGAAAGCUAUUUAGGUAGCGCCUCGUGAAUUCAUCUCCGGGGGUAGAGCACUGUUUCGGCAAGGGGGUCAUCCCGACUUACCAACCCGAUGCAAACUGCGAAUACCGGAGAAUGUUAUCACGGGAGACACACGGCGGGUGCUAACGUCCGUCGUGAAGAGGGAAACAACCCAGACCGCCAGCUAAGGUCCCAAAGUCAUGGUUAAGUGGGAAACGAUGUGGGAAGGCCCAGACAGCCAGGAUGUUGGCUUAGAAGCAGCCAUCAUUUAAAGAAAGCGUAAUAGCUCACUGGUCGAGUCGGCCUGCGCGGAAGAUGUAACGGGGCUAAACCAUGCACCGAAGCUGCGGCAGCGACGCUUAUGCGUUGUUGGGUAGGGGAGCGUUCUGUAAGCCUGCGAAGGUGUGCUGUGAGGCAUGCUGGAGGUAUCAGAAGUGCGAAUGCUGACAUAAGUAACGAUAAAGCGGGUGAAAAGCCCGCUCGCCGGAAGACCAAGGGUUCCUGUCCAACGUUAAUCGGGGCAGGGUGAGUCGACCCCUAAGGCGAGGCCGAAAGGCGUAGUCGAUGGGAAACAGGUUAAUAUUCCUGUACUUGGUGUUACUGCGAAGGGGGGACGGAGAAGGCUAUGUUGGCCGGGCGACGGUUGUCCCGGUUUAAGCGUGUAGGCUGGUUUUCCAGGCAAAUCCGGAAAAUCAAGGCUGAGGCGUGAUGACGAGGCACUACGGUGCUGAAGCAACAAAUGCCCUGCUUCCAGGAAAAGCCUCUAAGCAUCAGGUAACAUCAAAUCGUACCCCAAACCGACACAGGUGGUCAGGUAGAGAAUACCAAGGCGCUUGAGAGAACUCGGGUGAAGGAACUAGGCAAAAUGGUGCCGUAACUUCGGGAGAAGGCACGCUGAUAUGUAGGUGAAGUCCCUUGCGGAUGGAGCUGAAAUCAGUCGAAGAUACCAGCUGGCUGCAACUGUUUAUUAAAAACACAGCACUGUGCAAACACGAAAGUGGACGUAUACGGUGUGACGCCUGCCCGGUGCCGGAAGGUUAAUUGAUGGGGUCAGCGCAAGCGAAGCUCUUGAUCGAAGCCCCGGUAAACGGCGGCCGUAACUAUAACGGUCCUAAGGUAGCGAAAUUCCUUGUCGGGUAAGUUCCGACCUGCACGAAUGGCGUAAUGAUGGCCAGGCUGUCUCCACCCGAGACUCAGUGAAAUUGAACUCGCUGUGAAGAUGCAGUGUACCCGCGGCAAGACGGAAAGACCCCGUGAACCUUUACUAUAGCUUGACACUGAACAUUGAGCCUUGAUGUGUAGGAUAGGUGGGAGGCUUUGAAGUGUGGACGCCAGUCUGCAUGGAGCCGGCCUUGAAAUACCACCCUUUAAUGUUUGAUGUUCUAACGUGGACCCGUGAUCCGGGUUGCGGACAGUGUCUGGUGGGUAGUUUGACUGGGGCGGUCUCCUCCUAAAGAGUAACGGAGGAGCACGAAGGUUGGCUAAUCCUGGUCGGACAUCAGGAGGUUAGUGCAAUGGCAUAAGCCAGCUUGACUGCGAGCGUGACGGCGCGAGCAGGUGCGAAAGCAGGUCAUAGUGAUCCGGUGGUUCUGAAUGGAAGGGCCAUCGCUCAACGGAUAAAAGGUACUCCGGGGAUAACAGGCUGAUACCGCCCAAGAGUUCAUAUCGACGGCGGUGUUUGGCACCUCGAUGUCGGCUCAUCACAUCCUGGGGCUGAAGUAGGUCCCAAGGGUAUGGCUGUUCGCCAUUUAAAGUGGUACGCGAGCUGGGUUUAGAACGUCGUGAGACAGUUCGGUCCCUAUCUGCCGUGGGCGCUGGAGAACUGAGGGGGGCUGCUCCUAGUACGAGAGGACCGGAGUGGACGCAUCACUGGUGUUCGGGUUGUCAUGCCAAUGGCACUGCCCGGUAGCUAAAUGCGGAAGAGAUAAGUGCUGAAAGCAUCUAAGCACGAAACUUGCCCCGAGAUGAGUUCUCCCUGACCCUUUAAGGGUCCUGAAGGAACGUUGAAGACGACGACGUUGAUAGGCCGGGUGUGUAAGCGCAGCGAUGCGUUGAGCUAACCGGUACUAAUGAACCGUGAGGCUUAACC